GCUGUAGCUCAGAGGUAGAGCAUCUGCUUUGCAUGCAAGAGGUUCCAGGUUCAAUCCCAGGCAUCUGCA